rnacentral:SRP_RNA from 2 species
GCUGGGCAUGGUGGUGCAUGCCUGUAAUCCCAGCUACUUGGGAGGCUGAGGCAGAAGAAUCGCUUGAACCUGGGAGACAGAAGUUGCAGUGAGCUGAGAUGGCGUCACUGCCCUCCAGCCUGGGUGACAGAGUGAGACUUUGUCUCAA